UCUUCUUCCAUCCAUGGAUGGAAGAAUCAAUUCUUUUUUAUUUUUUCUUCUUUAUCUUGGGGUUUUCUGACUUCUUGGGGUGCACCGAGAGUGAGCUCGAAUGAUCACAGCCGAGUUGAUGUCGUCGAUUGGAAAGACUUCCUAUGUUUGAAAGAUAUGAAAGUCCCUUCGUAACGAGAGCUGUUGAUGGAGCAGACCAUGUACGAUACUAAACUUAGUU
rnacentral:lncRNA from 1 species